GCACUAUCAAAGUUUAAGGUCAAUGUUAUAAUUUAGGGUCAUAUUUAAGUAUUAUGCCUAAUAUAUUAUAAUAUAAAGUUAAUAAAGAACUUCAAGUUACAAGUUAAUCUAAAGAUAAAAGUGUUCCCGCAAAUAUUCGAGAGGACUUAUAUACACCCAAAAAGGCUUGCUUGGUCAAAUCUCGUGAUAAACAUUAAUUAAUCUCUCGCCCCAAGGUCACAGAGAGAAUUUACUAAAAUAGCUAAUGCUUCCCAAUCCGAGAUCUCUACAUAUAGUUUUCUAGUUCUACACGUUUUAAUUCAAAUAAAUGAAUAAAACUAGCAACUGUGAUACUAGGUGACAUCUUAAAAGACUUGAACUCUUUCAAUUUCUUCUCUUUUUCCCUUCGUAUAGCCCUUUCAUUCCGUAACAGAUUUUGAGUCGCGCACUGGGGACACCAUUUCGUAUGAUCUCACGACCUCGGAAACAUGCCUUUUGACGAUGUGCUUUUCCACUUUGUCUCUUUGCUUGACAUCCAGAACUCCCACUUGGAGUGAUUCGAGUUUGUCCCCGUUCAGCCAUUUGUGAAAUAGGAACGAAGAAAUAAUAAGAAUGAAUUUACCACUCAAUGUUACACUCAUGUUAUAAUUUAUUGUAGAAGGCAAAAUCUGUUAAAAAAAUUAGGGACUAAUUAAGGGAAAAAUUAUAACAGGUCUAGUUACUUCACAUCCAUAAUCAAUAUAAAGAAAUUUACACUUUAUUUCUAAUAAAUUAAAUAAUGGAUACGAAUAUAUCUAUUGAUGAAAAUUUAAUUUACUGACAUUUCAUAAGGAAAGAAUACUUUACUUAUCAUAAAGAAACAAUAUAUAAUUUUACUACCCAUCAUAAAUAUGUGGAUCAUUAGAAUUCACAUUAUUUCAAAAAAAUGUUAAAAGAAAACUUUUAAAGCUUGUACAACUAUCCAUUCCAUUUCUCAAGAAAUAAUUUACCUUUUUUUUAAUUCUUUAAAUAAAGUAGAUAAAAUAUUUGGAAAGUUCAGAUACCAAAGUUUACACGUAUUUCUCUUCUACCCAAAUGAAUUCUUUAUUAUUCAUUGCUUAUCUUCUUCUUUGAAGAAACUUUUUUCUUUUUAGUAAAAACAGUUCUAUAACAGAACCUUAAAAAAAAUUAUCGAAUCCGUAAACGCAAUUUUGACCAUCUGACAGGAUUCGAAGAAAAAAAUCGGUUAGGGUGGCGCUUCUAAUCAGAUCCAAAAAUUCAUACAACCAGUUAUGAAGAUUUUUCUCACAGGUAUAUUCAUACAAAAAUCUUUUUUCCAAGAGUUUUAUAUUUUAAACUCGAAAAAUAACGUGUAAAAAUGGAGUAAUAAACUUGGCUUUGAUACCAUUGAUAGAAAAUUAAGGAGCAAAAUAGUGUGUACCUUGACAAAUUUCGUAGUAGAUGUGAUUUUGCUACCGAAAGGAUCUGCCCCAAGUCCACUUUGUUUCUCUUGAAAACAGAGUAUUGAUUCACAAACUAAAAAUCUCCUUUUAAAUUUUUGUUAAUGUUUUUAUUUACCGUAAUAUUUAUUUUUAGUUAUUUUUUUUUUCAGAAGAAGUGAAUAUGUACAAGAGUAGUGGGUGGAUAAACCAGUUAUACAGUAACUGUCCCUCUCUUUUUCAAAAUUAAAUUGUUCCCUUCUUAUCUUUCAUUUAACAAAUAAUUAAAAUAAAAAACUGGGUCGGACCGAAUCGGAUUGGGUCGAUCCACAUGGACGACUCAUGACCCCUAAUCUAACAAUUAGGAUAAUAAUAAAAUUAGAAGAAAGACAAAAAAUAAGAAAAAAUAGACUCUACAAAGGAGAAACUAAGCUAAUUCUAAUAAUUUGUGGAGCACCAAGGCAUAAAUGAUUGGGUGCCUAUUGUAAAUCUAUCUAAUUUUUGGUGAAGUAUUUCAACAACGUCAAUAAAAUAUGAAGAUAAUUGCAUUUAUAAUUUAAUAAUUUCAAUUCAUUAAUAACCUAGAAAUAGUAUUUUAUUUCACAUUUGUUUAUAUUAGAAGUAAAAAAUAUGCUUCAUAUGAAUCAUAAAUGUUCUUGCAAUUUCCAGUUAUGUUAGAUAGUGUUGAAAUUCGUAACAGUUUCAUCUUAAAAAAUGUCAUACCAAGAAAAUAUGCAUAAGCUUUUUUAUCCAACUUCAUAGUACUAUAUCUAUUAUGGAGUUUGUGUACUGUUCAUGAGAGAUUUGGUUUUGCAGCCUUUUACAAAGUUUCUUAGUUUUUUGUCCUUUUUAUAGGAUUUCUCAUUUUUGCAUACUAGAUUUAGAAAAAGAAAAAAUUACACGCCAUAUAUAAAAUUAUUUUUUAAUUACAUGAUAUGAUUAAUAUUUCAAAAAAUUAUUCUACAUAGUUAUUUAUUAGUUAUAAAAAUAUUUUUUGUGGGCCCCUAUAUAUAAAUAUAAUAUGCAAUAUAUAUAACAAAUAAUACUCUCUUUCUCAUGUAAUUAAUUUUUUAUAAUCUCUCUCUAAUCUAAUUAGCUAAUUUUACCGCAUUAACUUAUGCACUGUUCUUGAACAUAUCUCAAUGAAAAUUUUUCUCCCAAAUUAGUUAAUUUAUUUUCUUUUCCUAAACAUCCAUUGUGAUUUUGCGUUGAAAAUUUUUUGAAGUAAUUUCUCGUCCCUAAACAUAUGUGAGGAUAUGCAUUGAAGAUUUUGUGAUAAUCUUUAAUUUUUUUGGGUAAAUAGAUUUGUUUUCUUUUAAUUUUUUUUUAGCUAUUCUCUAAAUGAACCCUAUGUUUCUUCAGAUUUAAUCUAUUUUAUAGAAUGGAAUGUAAAAUUUGAAAAUCGAAUUGUAUAUUAGUGUCAUUUCACAGGAUAAAUCUUGAUGAAUUAUCUUCAUAAUUGGGAUCCAAUUUUAGUGAAUUUGAUAAUUGUAUAUAGACGAUGUAAUUGUAUUAAGUUGCAUAGAUUUUUGUACGUCGGUAUUCAUUGUAUAUUUUUUUCAUUUGUAUAUUUUCUAUACAUAUGAAUGUAUUGAAUGUAUAUUUUUGAUGUAUAUAUUUGAAUUUUUGUAUAACUAUGAUGUAUACAAGUUUGUUCUGUGUUGGUACACAUAUACAUAUAUAUAUGCAUAUAUAUGUGUUGGCUCAAUAUACAUUAUUCAUAUGUGUAUACAUAUGUUCUAUAUUUAUGUAUAUAUACAUAUUCAUAUCUGUAUAUAUGUACAUACAUUUGAAUAUAAGUAUAAUUAUUUCUAUACACAUACGC
rnacentral:lncRNA from 1 species